UCUGUAUGUUAUAUAAUAUACAGUCUGGCCUGCCCACUGAGCUUUGAAGGGCCGCGGUAAUUUGACCGUGCGAAGGUAGCAUAGUCAGUAGUCUUUUAAUUGGAGGCUGGAAUGAAUGGUCGGAUGAAGGAAAAGCUGUCUUUUUGUUAAUAUAGAAUUUAACUUUCAAGUGAAAAGGCUUGGAUGGCUUAGGGGGACGAUAAGACCCUAUAAAACUUUAUAUAAAUUUUAUUUAGUAGUGAUUUAAUAUUAAAGUAACUUUAUAGGAUUUAUAUUGUGUUGGGGCGAUAAAGAUAUAAAAUGUAACUGUCUGGAAAAUUUAAUAAAAUUAAUUAGUUUAUGACCCCUCUUUGAGGGUUAGAAGAAUAAGUUACUUUAGGGAUAACAGCGUAAUUUUCUCUGAGAGUUCUUAUCGACGAGAGUAGUUGCGACCUCGAUGUUGAAUUAAAAUUUCAGUUAGGUGUAGCCGUUUAACUGGUGGGUCUGUUCGACCUUUAAUAUC
rnacentral:rRNA from 1 species